CCCUCAGCAGCAGGCCAGUGGAGAGGUGAGACUAGCAGUGUGUGGCCUGGGACAGGAGUAGAUAAAAGGCAGCCAUGGAAAGAACUAUUCCUUCCAGCCCAGAACACUGUCUCUGAACAGCAAGAUGGCUUUGAAACGCUUUCACAACGAAGGUGUGCUCCACUGGGCACCACAACAUACGGUUCAGACGUUUAAAGCCUGUCUCAGCCCAAUUUCCUCUCCAUUUGCUCCCUGGGUAAGGUAUCCCCCCUUCAGUGCAGGCAGAACUGGCGACUUGCUUCUAAUCAACAAAAUAUGGCAAAGGUAAGAAAUUGCUGCCUCCAUGAUUAGGUUGUUUAACAGUGUGACUUCCAUCUUGCUAGCAGACUGUCCCUUUGAUGAAUCAAGUGACCACAUUUUGGAGAUACUUGUGUAGCAAGAAACUGAUGGUGGCUUCUGUCCAACAGCAAGCAAAGAAAUAAAUCCUGCUGACAAUCAAGUAAGAAAGCUUGAAGUUGGAUUUUUCCCCAGUCAAACCUUCAGAGGAGAUGCAGCCCUGGCUGACACCAUGUUUGUAGAGACCCCAGUGCAGAGGAUCCAGAUAAGCUGCCCCUGUAUUUCUGACCCAUAGAAACUGAGA
rnacentral:lncRNA from 1 species